rnacentral:rRNA from 1 species
ACGGAAGGCAGCAGUGGGGAAUAUUGGGCAAUGGGCGAAAGCCUGACCCAGCAACGCCGCGUGAAGGAAGAAGGUUUUCGGAUUGUAAACUUCUUUUAUCAGGGACGAAGAAAGUGAUGGUACCUGAUGAAUAAGCCACGGCUAACUACGUGCCAGCAGCCGCGGUAAUACGUAGGUGGCAAGCGUUAUCCGGAUUUACUGGGUGUAAAGGGCGCGUAGGCGGGGAUGCAAGUCAGGUGUGAAAUCUAUGGGCUUAACCCAUAAACUGCAUUUGAAACUGUAUCUCUUGAGUGUCGGAGAGGUAGACGGAAUUCCUAGUGUAGCGGUGAGAUGCGUAGAUAUUAGGAGGAACACCAGUGGCGAAGGCGGUCUACUGGACGAUAACUGACGCUGAGGCGCGAAAGCGUGGGGAGCAAACAGGAUUAGAUACCCUGGUA